rnacentral:rRNA from 1 species
UACGUAGGUGGCAAGCGUUGUCCGGAAUUAUUGGGCGUAAAGCGCGCGCAGGCGGUCCUUUAAGUCUGAUGUGAAAGCCCACGGCUCAACCGUGGAGGGUCAUUGGAAACUGGGGGACUUGAGUGCAGAGGAGGAGAGUGGAAUUCCACGUGUAGCGGUGAAAUGCGUAGAGAUGCGGAGGAACACCAGUGGCGAAGGCGACUCUCUGGUCUGUAACUGACGCUGAGGCGCGAAAGCGUGGGGAGCAAACAGG